rfam:Schistocephalus solidus strain NST_G2 genome assembly, scaffold: SSLN_scaffold0007635
GGGCCCGUGACUCAAUGGUAGAGAGUUGCACUCAAUGACCAAAGGUCGCGGGUUCGAAUCCCGCGUGAUCCA